CAACGUGAGGAACUUGUCCCGGUCUCUGGGAUAACAGUUGGAAACGACUGCUAAUACCGGAUGACGUCGGAGCGUCGCAUGGCGCGCUGACGAAAGGGUUACUGGAUCGGGAGAGCCUCGCGGCCUAUCAGCUUGUUGGUGGGGUAACGGCCUACCAAGGCAUCGACGGGUAGCUGGUCUGAGAGGAUGAUCAGCCACACUGGGACUGAGACACGGCCCAG
rnacentral:rRNA from 1 species